rnacentral:sRNA from 1 species
AGCAGCCGCGGUAAUUCCAGCUCCAAUAGCGUAUAUUAAAGUUGUUGCAGUUAAAAAGCUCGUAGUUGAAUUUCGAGAUCAAAUUGUUGGUCGUGCCUCGGUACGUACUGGCAUUAUUGAUUUCUCCCUUCUGACGAUCCGCGAUGUCAUUAAUUUGGUGUCGUGGGGAAUCAGGACUGUUACUUUGAAAAAUUAGAGUGUUUAAAGCAGGCUCACGCUUGAAUACAUUAGCAUGGAAUAAUGAAAUAGGACGUUUGAUUCUAUUUUGUUGGUUUCUAGGAUCGACGUAAUGAUUAAUAGGGAUAGUUGGGGGCAUUAGUAUUCAAUUGUCAGAGGUGAAAUUCUUGGAUUUAUUGAAGACUAACUACUGCGAAAGCAUUUGCCAAGGAUGUUUUCAUUAAUCAAGAACGAAAGUUGGGGGAUCGAAGACGAUCAGAUACCGUCGUAGUCUUAACCAUAAACUAUGCCGACUAGGGAUCGGAUGAUGUUAAUUUUUAAUGUA